GAUGAACGCUGGCGGCGUGCUUAACACAUGCAAGUCGAACGAAGCGCUUAAAUGGAUUUCUUCGGAUUGAAGUUUUUGUGACUGAGUGGCGGACGGGUGAGUAACGCGUGGGUAACCUGCCUCAUACAGGGGGAUAACAGUUAGAAAUGACUGCUAAUACCGCAUAAGCGCACAGUGUUGCAUGGCACAGUGCGAAAAACUCCGGUGGUAUGAGAUGGACCCGCGUCUGAUUAGCUAGUUGGUGGGGUAACGGCCUACCAAGGCGACGAUCAGUAGCCGGCCUGAGAGGGUGAACGGCCACAUUGGGACUGAGACACGGCCCAA
rnacentral:rRNA from 1 species